CGUUAGGGACUGCGGAGAUCAUUACCUAGAGUUGUAGGCUUUGCCUACCAUCUCUUACCCAUGUCUUUUGAGUACCUUCGUUUCCUCGGCGGGUCCGCCCGCCGAUUGGACAAACUUAAACCCUUUGUAAUUGAAAUCAGCGUCUGAAAAAACAUAAUAGUUACAACUUUCAACAACGGAUCUCUUGGUUCUGGCAUCGAUGAAGAACGCAGCGAAAUGCGAUAAGUAGUGUGAAUUGCAGAAUUCAGUGAAUCAUCGAAUCUUUGAACGCACAUUGCGCCCCUUGGUAUUCCAUGGGGCAUGCCUGUUCGAGCGUCAUUUGUACCUUCAAGCUCUGCUUGGUGUUGGGUGUUUGUCUCGCCUCUGCGUGUAGACUCGCCUUAAAACAAUUGGCAGCCGGCGUAUUGAUUUCGGAGCGCAGUACAUCUCGCGCUUUGCACUCAUAACGACGACGUCCAAAAAGUACUUUUUACACUCUUGACCUCGGAUCAGGUAGGGAUACCCGCUGAACUUAAGCAUAUCAUA
rnacentral:rRNA from 1 species